GCAACUGGUAGUACUGCAACUGGUAGUACUGCAACUGGUAGCACUGCAACUGGUAGUACUGCAACUGGUAGCACUGCAACUAGUGGAACUGGCAGUACAACCGCCUCUAGUGUAAUGUCGACAGCAACAUCGGCCACCUCCGUGGCAACCGGUUCAACCUCUGCAACAAUUUCAACUUAAACUCAAAUUUGAUGAACAACUCGCUAAUUAUUACGGAAAUGAUCUACCUUGCUUUGUUUUUCUUUAUUUAUUAUCUUAUUAUAUUAUCAUUAAAUGCACGAAAUAAAUUAUAUUUUUAAUUCUAUUAA